UUUCUACACAGACUAGACUGGUCAACCAACAGGUUUCUACACAGACUAAACUGGUCAUGAAGUUUCUAUACAGACUAGACUGGUCAACAGGUUUUUACACAGACUAGACUGGUCAACAGGAUUAUAUACAGACUAGACUGGUCAACAGGUUUUUACAGACUAAACUGGUCAACAUGUUUACACAGACUAAACUGGUCAACAGGUUUUUACACAGACUAGACUGGUCAACAGGAUUAUAUACAGACUAGACUGGUCAACAGGUUUUUACAGACUAAACUGGUCAACAUGUUUACACAGACUAAACUGGUCAACAUGUUUACAUAAAGACUGGUCAACAGGCGUCUACACAGACUAAACUGGUCAACAGAUUUCUACACAUACUAAACUGGUCAACAUGUUUCCAUAAAGACUGGUCAACAGGUUUUUACACAGACUAAACUGGUCAACAGGUUUUUACACAGACUAAACUGGUCAACAUGUUUACACAGACUAAACUGGUCAACAUGUUUCCAUAAAGACUGGUCAACAGGUUUUUACACAGACUAAACUGGUCAACAUGUUUACACAGACUAAACUGGUCAACAUGUUUACAUAAAGACUGGUCAACAGGCAUCUACACAGACUAAACUGGUCAACAGAUUUCUACACAUACUAAACUGGUCAACAUGUUUCCAUAAAGACUGGUCAACAGGCAUCUACACAGACUAAACUGGUCAACAGGCAUCUACACAGACUAAACUGGUCAACAGGUUUCUACACAUACUAAACUGGUCAACAUGUUUCCA
ensembl:lncRNA